UACGUAGGGUCCAAGCGUUAAUCGGAAUUACUGGGCGUAAAGCGUGCGCAGGCGGUUUUGUAAGCCAGGUGUGAAAUCCCCGGGCUCAACCUGGGAAUGGCAUUUGGGACUGCAAGGCUGGAGUGCGGCAGAGGAGACUGGAAUUCCUGGUGUAGCAGUGAAAUGCGUAGAUAUCAGGAGGAAUACCGAUGGCGAAGGCAGGUCUCUGGGCUGACACUGACGCUCAUGCACGAAAGCGUGGGGAGCAAACAGG
rnacentral:rRNA from 1 species